CGCGAGGUUUCCAACCUCUCCGGGAAUUCACCUGGAGGGAACGGGGACCAGAAAGGGCCUUUCAGAGCUGGCAGGGAGCGCCGGGCCGGGGCAGCUCAGCUAAACGCUCGCUGGAGGACGCUGGGGGAGACGCUCGGCUGACAGCUUCGUUUACAGAAGUGUAUUCCUUCAGCUCCAUUCGCAAUAACAAACAGAUUUCCACAGACCAUAAUGUUUUCCAAUGCGGCGUUUAUGGAAGCCGUGUGCCAUGACUUCACCCCACCCCACGGUGCUGUGAUGGGGGAGCACAACCUCGCUGUGGAUGGGCAGAUGUGAUCGUGGGCACCCAGGGAACCCAACCGGCCCGGCGUUCUGUGUUUGCAGCCCCAGCACCUCCAUGGAGCCCUCCUGGACCCCACCCAGCGCCGCGCUGCAGGGAGAUGCCGGAGCACAGCGAAGAGGAGAGGGGGAUGAAAACAUUUUGGGAUGCUUUCUGGAUGAGUUUCAGCCUUCUCUGUGCUCCUCUCCUUUGGGAAGAGAGGAAAGGAGAUGGGAGUGUGCGAGAUUUGCUGCGCUGUUCUUUCCUGGUGUGUUCGCUCGCUGCGAGCCGGAGCUGCUGUGCUGCCCUCCUGCCUUCCCUGAGCAGAGCAUGGGGACCAGGACCCCCCUCUGCCACCAGCACAUGGGAACGCUCAUCCAUACCAUGUCCUUGUGCUGCGAUGGGGCUGAUGCCUGCAGAGCUGGCUGUGAACCCAGCACCUGGGAGCUCUGCUGGGCAGCGCUCCUGCAGAAGUGACGAAUUGUUUCUGCCGGAGCAAUUGUUACCUCCACCGAUUCCUGUUCCAGCUCAGCACAGCCCCAGUGAUGUCCGUGGAUGCAGAGGGACUGUGGCCAGGCCCGGCUUCCCAGGUGGAACGAGUCGUGUUGUUGGAAAAUGUCUCUGAUGUGAAGCACGGCGCUCGCUCUGAGCCGCAGGCAUGGAGCUGCCUCGUGCUGGUGAGAAAAUGAUGGCUCAGCCCACCCCACCAACAAACCCUCACAAUGCACCGGGUAGGGUGGGAGCAGGAAUGGAGCACUGAGGAGUGGAGCUGAGAAAAGACCUCUGUGCCCGCCGGUGUGUGUGCCCAUUUCCCAGACUGUGGCUGAAUUUCAGAUUUGGAACAACUGCUCGGGCAGCAACAGCUCCUCCAGCUGCAGGAACGCACCGGGCCCUCUGUGGCUGUGUUAUGGCUCCCAAACCUCCCGCCUGUGCAGCGUGGGCACGGAGCAGCCCUGCUGUGUGCCUGGAGAGCAAGGAGCAAAUGUGGGCUGGGUUCAGCAGCACUUUCCCCGGGAAGAGCUACAAGAAGAGCUGAGGGUCCCCAGGAGCCCCAGCAUUACGUUGCUUCACCCUUUGCAGGAGGAAAGCUCGCAGCCCUUCGUGCUAUGGGGGAAGCUCCCGUAGCACUCAGACCCAGUGUGUUAUUUCUGGGCUCUGACUCACACUGCUGGAACGAUUCGGGGUUUGCAUGCAGCGAGCAGUGUGUUCCCAGGGGGUGUGGAGAGAGCCGGGGGGCCGGAGCCUUGGGUCGGUUUGCAGGGAUUGCUCGGUUUGUAGGGAUGCUCAGAGCUGCAGUGCAGCAGGAGGGGGUUCAGGAGCCCCCCGGGUUUGCAGCUCACAUCUCACACCGCUGCCCUUCCAUUGCGCCCGGUGCGUUGUCAGAGGCACAGAGUGUGGCGCAGUGAUUUCAGGGAGCUCAGUCCUAUGGGCGCCAUCAGCAUCCCGCAUCCCUCCCGGGGGUCCCGUGCUCAUCCCUCUCCCCUGCCCACCGUGCUUUUAUCUCUUCUGUAGGUACCAAUGGAGCCGUCAGCCUGCGGUACGACAGGUUGCGGGAGCCGGGGCCCCUCGAACAGAGCAGCCUUGUCUGUCAGAGCCGCCUGACACUCCCCAUAAUGGCCAGAUGGAUGAGACUCUGAAAGUAGGACCCGGCGCGUUUUCAACUCUAUUUUGGGUGAAAACACUUCUUGAAAGAUCUUGAAAGGAGCUGGCAGUUGAGGAGUUCCAAUGAUUAAUGAGCGCUGGCUCUGCAGGGCGGGUUGCUCGCGCCGUGCCAGCAGCCGCGCUGCUCCAGCAGCCCCAACCCCGCCGCCCCCCGCGCCCCAUCGGCUCUCCCGGAAAUGACACCAACACGACAGGGCCAGCAUAUGGAAAAAGUUAAAUAUAAAUUACUGCUGAAAGAGGCCUCGCCGAGCGGAGUUAGUUAAAGAUGUUUAUGGAUUCAGAAACACGGGCCUGCAUAUGUAUUUAGAGAUGACAAAUGUGAUUCAAUAAGUAAAGAAUUUCUCUGUGGGCUGAGGCUCAGGCGCUGGGGGGGCUCCCGGCCGUAAAUCUGGGGACAGCCUCCUCUUUCCCUCUCCUUUUUGCUCCUUCCAGGAUCAGAGCAAAGCGCUGCCUCUGCUCCUGCGUCCGUGUUCCCUGCCCUGCACCCCUGCUGCUUUCUUUUAUGGGUUUUUACCCCAAAACGGCUCUUGCUGCCAUGGCACGAAGGGUGCGGGAUGCCCCCCCGUUCCCACGUGCUCAUGCAGACCCGAAGUGCUGGCAGAGCUCAGAGCGGUGCCGUGGGGUGGGGGGGCUCCGAUGGGGAUCCCUGUGCCCCUGGUGGACCAUGCUCGUGCAGCCGGACCCUGCAGGACUGUCAGCAAAUGAUUAAUGACCAACAGCCCCCGGGCUGCCCCCACCAGGAUCGUGUGCCUCGUGCUUCAUGCGUGCUUUGCAAGUUGCUGCAUGCACGCUCAGCCCAAAGCGGGGACCCCCACAAAGACCCCGGAGAGCCCAUCCAGAGGACGGGUGUGCAGGACAUGGGCUGUCUCCCCACGCCCCCCCUGCGUACCCCCACUGUUUUUUGGGGGUCAGCGCCCGGCCGGACUGUUGACUGCCAGCCACAUUCCUUUGUCCUGAUUUGAUUCGUUAGCAGCGUUUGGCUGGGACACAGAGACAGCUAAUGAGGGACUGAGUUUAUUGCAGUUUGAUUUUUCUGUUAAAACAAUACAAUAAAAUAAAUGCGCUUGGAAAUCUGGUAUGUGUUUGUACAUAGGAGAUUUAUGGCUCUGGAGGCUUCCAGAGAGACGCAGCCUUUCAUUCCCUUCCUUAUUGGAACAGAUCAUAUUGCAGGGUUUAAAGGGCUCUGGAGCUGUGAUUUAUUUGAAGGGAGAAACCAGGGAAAUCCAACUAUCUGUUCCCUGGCUCAGAUCAUCCAGUGACUCCUGGCCAAGGGAAUGAUCUGCAC
rnacentral:lncRNA from 1 species